rnacentral:rRNA from 1 species
UUUUUUAGUCUGACCUGCCCACUGAAGUUGUUAAAGGGCCGCGGUAUUUGGACCGUGCUAAGGUAGCAUAAUCAAUAGUCUCUUAAUUAGAGUCUGGAAUGAAUGGUUGGAUGAAAUACAAUUUGUCUUCGAAUAUAAUGUUGAAUUUUACUUUUAAGUGUAAAGGCUUAAAUUGAGUAAAGGGACGAUAAGACCCUGUGAAGCUUUACUUUUGUUGAGUGUUGAUGUUUAAUAAUUAUGUGCUUAGGCUUAUAGUUAAUGAAAGUUGGGUUGGGGCGACUGGAAUAUAAUUUUAACUGUUUUGGUUAGUGGAAUAAGUGAUUUUUAGUUGGUUGAUCUUAUAAUAUAGAUUAAAAAAUUUAAGUUACUCCAGGGAUAACAGCGUAAUUCUUUUUGAGAGUUCUUAUCGACAAAAGUAUUUGCGACCUCGAUGUUGAAUUAAGAUUUCGUCAAGGUGUAGAAGUUUUGAUUGUGGGUCUGUUC